CUUCUUUGUUUCGGGUGCAUUGUGAUCCUCUAGUGUCCUCCGUUUCGGAUAAAUAUUGAGUGCUUUUCUGUUCUCCUCUUUUGCUCUUCCUUGUGCUUUCUGUUAGUCUGAACUUUUCCUGUAGCCAUUUUGGGAGGAGGGCCUGAUUCGACUGUCGCGCGGCUUCUCGGUAACGAGGUCGGUUGAGGCUUCUUGCGUGCGGGGAAUUUCCAAGUCUCGUGCGUCGGUGUGUUAAGGGGAGUACCAACUCUUAGUGGUGAGGUUUGACCUGUACGGGUCGGGGAGUGUUUGUCGCCGCAGUCUCUUGCGUUGGUGACAUGGUACGCCGCCGCCUCUGGUUUCUUCCUGUCUUCUUCUCCAGAGUGCGGACCCUCGCACAUGUCCAAGCUGGGAGUAAGUCCGAUUACAAGGAGGAGAGAAAACGAAGUCGACCAAGGCAAAGCUUAGUUUUCCGGACGUCCCACUGGGGCUAGCGGCCUGCAGGUGCUCCCUAGCGGCCUCAAGCACCCCGAUGCAAAAGUAGGAGCACUUGUUGACGGAGGUCAUGUCGCGAAUGAUGCCGCACAGCUGCUUGGACCACUUGAAGGAGUUCCAGGUCGACGUGAGGCCGUCGUUCCGGCGCCGCUUGUCGCAGUGGUUGACCGUCCCGUGGCGGAGGUAGUGCGGCGAGCGCCGGCCGAAGGAGCGGCUGAGAAAGGAGCCGUCCAUGACCUGGUAGUGGGAGAAGGAGAAGUAGAGGCAGCGCCCCAUGCCGCAGCACCGCCGCUCGCGCCACAAGAUGCGCCCCGACAUGGACCACCGCGACCCGCCGCGCGACGUCGGCCAGGACAGCAGCAAGCCCCGGCUGGUCAAGCUGCGGCUCAGGCUGCUCCUCCUCGCGGCCGCCGUCUCGAGGAAGAAGUUGACCAAGAUGGACAGGUAACAGCACCCGAGCGAGCACCCGCCGUGGCAGGACCACACCCACGUCAGGCGGGUGCCGACCGCCGAGCCGAUGCCGUAGGGCCGCGACGAGUCGCACGAGCGGCAGCGAGACAAGGAGCGGCCGUGCCCGCGCAUGGCGGCGGUGGUCGGGGGGCCGCCGUCGGGCGAGUGGUCCUAGCGCGUCCACCACCAGCGGCGGCGGUCCUUCACGCUGCACCUCUAGGGCUGGCUGCGGUGCGACGACGUGCUCACACUGCCCCUGCUGCCGUACAGUCACUAAGUCCCCUCGGCGGCGGAGCGCGUGUGACUGCUCAAGUCCAAGAACCUGUUCCGCCGCCACCUCUGCCGCCCGCUGUUCCGCGCCGGCCGCUCGGGCACCGCCGACACGUGGCACUGCGUCCACCUCCUCGAGUUCACGCACGAGGCUGACGACGGCCACACCCGCACGCCGUAGUAGAAGCGCCGGCGGAUGUGCGUCUACUGGUGGUGGAAGUAGGAGGUCCCACUGUGCGACCUGGGCGCGCAGCCGUCGAAGGCGCACGGGGGGCGGCACGAGUGGCAGAAGCUGUGGGAGUCGCAGUACGAGACCCACGGCGAGAUUCUGGUGCGGCAGCACGGCGAGCGCGCGGCGGAGUGCCCGGUGGCGACGCCCAAGUGCGUCGACCGCGCGUACCCACACCCGAAGCAGUAAGAGUGACAACGGUACGAGCGGCGGCCGUGCGAGCUCCACCGCGCCGCGGCGCAGCAGCGCGCGGUGCCUUGGAUGUGGCCGCUCCUGCCGCGCUCCAUGCACGGCUACAGCUAGAAGACCGUCCACGGCGUCAUGCACCACCACCCACGGCGUCUCCACAAGUGCAAGUAGCCCGUCUACCUCAAGAAGAUACUGGUCCGCGGCCUGCGGUACGCCUCGCAGACGAGCCCCGAGAGGUCGCGCCGCAAACGCGACCCGUUGAUGCGCUCGAGCCGCGAGCACCGGCAGCACCACGCGCGCUGCACCACGAGCACCUAGGGGCUGCUAUAGUUGCUGCCGGUAGACCUGAUGAAAAAGACCGACGAGCGGUACGAGACGUAGCCGUUGAAGCCGCGCAUGGACGAGCAGCGUGCCACCAUAUGGAUGUUCUUCUGGCGACUGACUUGGACCUGGCGACUGACUUGGACCUCUAGUGGCAUUACAUUACAUUGCAUGCACGAUCCACAUGAAGAGAUUACGUUACUUCAACAUUAACCCUUUCGGUGGAAACUACGGCGUUUAGAGCCCCCUUGAGACGAGUUUUUUCUUAGUCUUAGUAACCGGAUCUUUUUCGUCAAACAGAUUAAGUGUACAAAAAAUUCCUACAGUGUAGAUUCGAGGAUGUUCAUAUAUUACAUCGUUAUUUUUUAUUUUUUUAAUUAUAUUUUUUUUAUCUGGUGUUUGUCUCACCUGUAGUUAAAUCUACACUGUAGAUCUACACAGGAUCUGUCUGAAAUCCUUUUUUGGAAAUCUGACACCGCCGACAACCUCUACGAGACUCAUUCAAUGACCGCUGCAACAGAUCACUCACCCGCCUCCGCCUCCGGCUCUUAACAAUCGCCUCGGCACCCAUAAUCCCUCCUCGUCAUCAAAAAGAACAUUGGCACCACCCACCUAGUACCGGUCGGGAACACCGUCCGUUAACAUUGACUGAGAGAGAAGAAGAAGAAAAAAACUCCCUUCUGAGAGAGAAGAAGAAUUCCUAUACAUGUUACCACAAUCAAAUUCUCACAGUG
rnacentral:rRNA from 1 species